UACGUAGGGGGCUAGCGUUGUCCGGAAUCAUUGGGCGUAAAGCGCGUGUAGGCGGUCCGGUAAGUCCGCUGUGAAAGUCGAGGGCUCAACCCUCGAAUGCCGGUGGAUACUGUCGGGCUUGAGUACGGGAGAGGCGAGUGGAAUUCCUGGUGUAGCGGUGAAAUGCGCAGAUAUCAGGAGGAACACCGAUUGCGAAGGCGGAUCUCUGGGCCUGUUCUGACGCUGAGGUGCGAAAGCUAGGGGAGCGAACAGG
rnacentral:rRNA from 1 species